rnacentral:lncRNA from 1 species
UUCCACGGAUUCGUUAGUGUGCGCCCGAAUCCUCGAGCCAGGGACACGCUCGUAUCCCUUUUAUUUCAACUAAAUAACUUUGAUACGAAUACGGGAACUAUACGCUAACAUCUAGAUUUACUACUAAUCGCGCUAAAAUUAUGUUUCUUUAAGCGUAUCGUGUUGUAUGUUUCAGCUCAUACCACUGUUUGCAAUUAAUGCAACGGUAUUGAUUGCCAUCUCUUUCAUGUGCUACCACAGGAUGUUUGUGACUACAAUCGAUGUAACACUCGGGGAUUAUCAUCGAUUCGAAAUACCCUCGGAACCAAGAUUUUUCGACUUGCGAAACCCCCGCAUUCUCAAGGUCUGUCUUUUGUUAUCUACUCAAAGUACGAAUAAAGAAAAUUUAUUUCCUGCC